CCUAUGGGUGGCUGCAGUGGGGAAUAUUGGGCAAUGGGCGCAAGCCUGACCCAGCAACGCCGCGUGAAGGACGAAGGCCUUCGGGUUGUAAACUUCUUUGAUCAGGGACGAAAAAAAUGACGGUACCUGAAGAACAAGCCACGGCUAACUACGUGCCAGCAGUCGCGGUAAUACGUAGGUGGAGAGCGUUAUCCGGAUUUACUGGGUGUAAAGGGCGUGUAGGCGGGUCUACAAGUCGGAUGUGAAAUUCCCGGGCUUAACUCGGGCGGGUCAUCCGAAACUGCGGAUCUUGAGUACUGGAGAGGAUAGUGGAAUUCCUAGUGUAGCGGUAAAAUGCGUAGAUAUUAGGAGGAACACCAGUGGCGAAGGCGGCUAUCUGGACAGUAACUGACGCUGAGGCGCGAAAGCGUGGGGAGCAAACA
rnacentral:rRNA from 1 species